GACGAGGUGGCCGAGUGGGUAAAGGCGAUGGACUGCUAAUCCAUUCUGUUCUGCACGCAUGGGUUCGAAUCCCAUCCUCGUCG
rnacentral:tRNA from 1 species